UCAGAAACAAGGAUUUGGGCACGUUCACGGUCCGAGUAAAUGGGGCUCUGAGGAUCAUAGUGGCAUGCAAACCUUUCAUAAUGUCUUCCUGAAACAUUAAACAAGAGGUACAACGGCCAACCUAGAGUAAGUGUUACUAGAAGUGUGAGGACUCUACCAGGUGGAUUAUUAAGGUACUUGGCAAAAGAUCUGAGUUCAGCCUUGUGCUUAGGAACGAAGACCUCAUCCUUCUCAAGCGAACCAGUAUUAGAGUGGUGGCGACGAUGACUAUACUUCCAGGAAAAGUAUGGAACAAGGAGAGAUGAAUGGAGGAUAAGGCCAACAGUGUCAUCAAGCCAUUGAUAAUUGCUGAAGGCGUGAUGGCCACAUUCAUGGGCUAUGACCCAAACUCCAGUUAAGAAACAGCCUUGAACGAAACCAUAGAUUGCCCAGGCCACAUAAGAGAAAGGAUGGGGGAGGAGGUGUAUGUAAUUGGUGGCAAUGUAGUAAAGGAUGGAGGCAAUAGUCAGGUCGUAAACAACAUAAGAGAAAGAACGGAUGACAGAUCGCUGAAAACAAUGUGGUGGAAUGGCCUUUUUGAUGUCUCCAACAGUAAAUGGAGGUUUUGCGACUGGAACUCGUUCAAGAACUUCCUCUUGUGACUUUUUAACCUUAGGAUC
rnacentral:lncRNA from 1 species